AAAAACUGUUUUUUUUUAAUGUACUUUUUAUAAAUAUUUUAUCUUUGUUUAGAUAGUUGGGUUACUUUGGUAGAUUCAUUCAAAAAGUCAGAGAUCUUUAUAGCCCACCCUGUAUAGACAUACAAGAUUACCCUUGUGAAUAACAAUAACUUUGUGGCUUAAGUUUCAAUUAAUCCAUUUCUUUUGUGUCAUGUAAAUGGUUUUGAACCU